rnacentral:rRNA from 1 species
GACGAACGCUGGCGGCGUGCUUAACACAUGCGAGUCGAACGCUGAAGCCCUUUCGGGGGUGGAUGAGUGGCGAACGGGUGAGUAACACGUGGGUAACCUGCCCUGCACUCUGGGAUAAGCCUUGGAAACGGGGUCUAAUACCGGAUAGGACACAUCGCCGCAUGGUGUGUGUGUGGAAAGUUCCGGCGGUGCAGGUUGAGCCCGCGGCCUAUCAGCUUGUUGGUGGGGUGAUGGCCUACCAAGGCGACGACGGGUAGCCGGCCUGAGAGGGUGACCGGCCACACUGGGACUGAGACACGGCCCAGACUCCUACGGGAGGCAGCAGUGGGGAAUCUUGCGCAAUGGGCGAAAGCCUGACGCAGCAACGCCGCGUGGGGGAUGACGGCCUUCGGGUUGUAAACCUCUUUCGACCGGGACGAAGGGUGACUGACGGUACCGGUAGAAGAAGCACCGGCUAACUACGUGCCAGCCGCCGCAGUAA